rnacentral:tRNA from 1 species
UAGUAGCCAAGCGGUAAGGCAACUGGCUCUGAACCAGUUAUACGUUGGUUCGAAUCCAACCU